UACAUGUGGGGCAAGCGUUGUUCGGAAUUACUGGGCAUAAAGGGUGCGUAGGCGGCGCGUCAAGUCACUGGUGAAAGUUUGCGGCCCAACCGUAAAAUUGCCGGCGAUACUGGCGUGCUUGAGUGCGUGAGGGGUUGGGGGAACGAGUGGUGUAGCGGUGAAAUGCGUAGAGAUCACUCGGAAGGCCAGAGCCGAAGGGGCCCAACUGGUACGCAACUGACGCUGAGGCACGAAAGCGUGGGGAGCGAACCGG
rnacentral:rRNA from 1 species